GUUAAUAUAGUUUAAGAAAAAUGCCAGACUGUGAAUCUGAAGAUAGGAUGUAAAACUCCUUAUUUACC
rnacentral:tRNA from 1 species